rnacentral:rRNA from 1 species
CCGAAGCUGAGGAACCCGCAAGGGUUGGUAGAGGAGCAUUGCAUAUGCGGCGAAGCAGUACCGUAAGGAGCUGUGGACUGCAUGGAAGAGAGAAUGCCGGAAUGAGUAGCGAGAAUUAUGUGGGAAUCAUAAUGGCCGAAAAUCUAAGGUUUCUUGGGGAAGGUUCGUCCGCCCAAGGUAAGCCGGGAGCUAAGGCGAGGCCGAAAGGCGUAGUCGAUGCACAUACGGUAGAAAUUCCGUAGCCACCGAACUUUAAACCAGAAGGACACUUUCAGAUAGCGGGACCCAGCCGUUGGUAGAGCUGGGCGAAAGGGACUGAAAUUAGUAGGGAAGUCCGCGAUGCUGGGAGGCGAGAAAAGCUCUGGUGAAUACUAAGGUGCCCGUACCGCAAACCGACACAGGUAGGUAGGAAGAAGAUUCUAAGGCCAACGGGAGAAGGGUUGUUAAGGAACUCGGCAAAUUGACCCCGUAACUUCGGAAGAAGGGGAGCCUCGAAAGAGGCCGCAGUGAAUAGGCCCAAGCAACUGUUUACCAAAAACACAGGUCUAUGCUAAAUCGAAAGAUGACGUAUAUGGGCUGACGCCUGCCCGGUGCUGGAAGGUUAAGAGGAGAUGUCAUCGCAAGAGAAGCAUUGAAUUGAAGCCCCAGUAAACGGCGGCCGUAACUAUAACGGUCCUAAGGUAGCGAAAUUCCUUGUCGGGUAAGUUCCGACCCGCACGAAUGGCGUAACGACUUGGGCACUGUCUCAACAAGGGACCCGGCGAAAUUGUAGUAUGUGUGAAGAUGCACAUUACCCGCGAUAGGACGGAAAGACCCCGUAGAGCUUUACUGUAGCCUGGUAUUGGAUUUUGGUAACGUAUGUACAGAAUAGGUGGGAGACGGAGAAGCGAGGACGCCAGUUCUCGUGGAGUCGCCUUUGGGAUACCACUCUUAUGUUACCGGGGUUCUAACGAGCGGCCGUGAACCGGCGUUCAGACAGUGCCAGGUGGGCAGUUUGACUGGGGCGGUCGCCUCCUAAAGAGUAACGGAGGCGUCCAAAGGUUCCCUCAGAAUGGUUGGAAACCAUUCAUAGAGUGCAAAGGCAGAAGGGAGCUUGACUGCGACACCGACGGGUGGAGCAGGUACGAAAGUAGGACUUAGUGAUCCGGUGGUAUAAAGUGGGAUUGCCAUCGCUCAACGGAUAAAAGCUACCCUGGGGAUAACAGGCUUAUCUCCCCCAAGAGUCCACAUCGACGGGGAGGUUUGGCACCUCGAUGUCGGCUCAUCGCAUCCUGGGGCUGUAGCAGGUCCCAAGGGUUGGGCUGUUCGCCCAUUAAAGCGGUACGCGAGCUGGGUUCAGAACGUCGUGAGACAGUUCGGUCCCUAUCCGGCGUGGGCGUAGGAUAUUUGAGAGGAGCUGUCCUUAGUACGAGAGGACCGGGAUGGACGCACCAAGGGUGAAUCAGUUGUCGCGCCAGCGGCACGGCUGGGUAGCCAAGUGCGGAUCGGAUAAACGCUGAAGGCAUCUAAGCGUGAAGCCGACCUCAAGAUAAGAUCUCCCAUUCCGAAAGGAAGUAAGACCCCUUGCAGACGACAAGGUUGAUAGGUCGGGGGUGGAAGUGCGGUAACGCAUGAAGCUGACCGAUACUAAUAGGUCGAGGGCUUGAUCAA